ACAAGAACAACAACAAGCAAGCAAACCCAUAACAAGAACAAGACGAAUCGACUCACGCAUAACAAGAACAACACGGCGGAGGCGCAGCUAACUGAUUCUUUUGGAGAGGCGUUGUUUUUGGGGAAACCCGCAGCCAGGCAGAGAACUACAACAACUGCUUUGAAGCAGAAGCCAGAACUGGUUGGAUCACAGCGAUCAUCACAGCACAGCGACCAAAGCAAUCCGUUUGCUCUUGCUCCCGAAUAGGGAGACAUCCCCGAACCAAGGUUCGGCGGACAGGGCACUCAACAAAAACAAAAAGCCCGACAAAAAAUAAAAACAGAGCAUGCAACUACUUCUUGGGGAGCUUCGGCUCCCCUUGUAGUUUCCAGCUUUCGUCCUGCCCCAGUGCGCCA
rnacentral:sRNA from 1 species